AAACGAAGAGGUUUCCGAGAAUGUUUCCACUUUAUAUAUAAUUGCUGCAAAUGAAUUUAGUUCGACAAAUCAUUUAAAUCGUUCGUCGCAAAGAAACGUUUGUCCCGAAGAAGUAAGCGACACUGUGCUAGACAAUUCUCAAACCGAUAAAUUGUUCAGGUUUUUAAUAAUUCUGGCUACGUCAAUGACACUCAGAUUAUUUCUACAAUUAUUUAAAAUUACGAAUAAAAAUAAAGACGGUGUCUUUGUUAUCGUAAAAUUUUUAGCCGAUUUUAGCAGCAGUGGGCAGGCAUUAUUAGCGUUUAUGUGGUUCGAAUUUAAGAUAAAAAGUAUUUUAGCAGUUUUUAAGAAAAGACGCAGUUACAAAGUAUUUUCACUUGGAAAAAGUACCCGGUAGCGAAAGAAUUAUUUAAAAAAUGAUAAUUUUAUAUAAAUAUUUACGAAAAAUUUUGCCAAUACAAUCUAAUUUAUAAAGAAAUAACGUUGUUUCGAAAGAAAUAUUUCCGUCGUCGCCAUGUAAAAACGGUUUUGUCACCAUUCCAAGUACUUACCUAUUGGCACGCAUGGUCAUUUUAGAAAGCCACCGAGUUGUU